rnacentral:rRNA from 1 species
CGACCCGCUAGCGUACACAUGCAAGUCGAGCGGUAACAGGGGUAGCUUGCUACCCGCUGACGAGCGGCGGACGGGUGAGUAAUGCAUAGGAAUCUGCCCGAUAGUGGGGGAUAACCUGGGGAAACCCAGGCUAAUACCGCAUACGUCCUACGGGAGAAAGGGGGCUCCGGCUCCCGCUAUUGGAUGAGCCUAUGUCGGAUUAGCUAGUUGGUGAGGUAAUGGCUCACCAAGGCAACGAUCCGUAGCUGGUCUGAGAGGAUGAUCAGCCACAUCGGGACUGAGACACGGCCCGAACUCCUACGGGAGGCAGCAGUGGGGAAUAUUGGACAAUGGGCGAAAGCCUGAUCCAGCCAUGCCGCGUGUGUGAAGAAGGCCUUCGGGUUGUAAAGCACUUUCAGCGAGGAAGAACGCCUAGUGGUUAAUACCCAUUAGGAAAGACAUCACUCGCAGAAGAAGCACCGGCUAACUCCGUGCCAGCAGCCGCGGUAAUACGGAGGGUGCAAGCGUUAAUCGGAAUUACUGGGCGUAAAGCGCGCGUAGGUGGCUUGAUAAGCCGGUUGUGAAAGCCCCGGGCUCAACCUGGGAACGGCAUCCGGAACUGUCAAGCUAGAG